rnacentral:rRNA from 1 species
CAUGCAAGUCGAACGGUAACGCGGAGAGCUUGCUCUCUGGCGACGAGUGCGGACGGGUGAGGUAAUACUUAGGAAUCUGCCCAGUAUGGGGGACAACAUUCGGAAACGGAUGCUAAUACCGCAUACGCACUACGGUGGAAAUGGGGGAUCUUCGGACCUCACGCUAUUGGAUGAGCCUAAGUCGGAUUAGCUUGUUGGUGAGGUAAUGGCUCACCAAGGCGACGAUCCGUAGCUGGUCUGAGAGGACGAUCAGCCACACUGGGACUGAGACACGGCCCAGACUCCUACGGGAGGCAGCAGUGGGGAAUAUUGGACAAUGGGCGCAAGCCUGAUCCAGCAAUGCCGCGUGUGUGAAGAAGGCCUGCGGGUUGUAAAGCACUUUCAGUAGAGAAGAAAAGCCUAGGGUUAAUACCCCUGAGUCUUGACGUAACCUACAGAAGAAGCACCGGCUAACUCCGUG